UUGCACUCAUAAUUAUCGUGGGCUUUGCUGAAUUUGAAAUAGUAAGGCUUUUGAUCCAAGAGUGCAUAAAGGAAAUGCUGAGUUAACUCGGCGGCGGCCAGACAACCGCUGAGAUGGAUCCACAGAUGAAUGCCCCCUUUUCCAUACGGCAUUUAUCUACUAAAUCCAUCUUACAUUA